CCUGUACGUCCACAGGAGCAGCUCAGUCUCCGUGUUUGGAGGUGGAUCGGCGCGGUCCAUCGGACCUGUGGGACCACGGGGUGCACCACGAGAUCUCCUUGAGCCGCACUGAGAACAGAAACUGCUGCUCUGGACUCCUGCUCCACCUGCCGGAUGGAAACUCCUCCUGGAGCGCCUCUUAGCUGUGCUCUCCGAGCGCCGGCCCCUCUGCCACAGCAACAUCUGGGCGCCCACAGGAGGAAGACGGCAGCCCUCGGCCUCUGGGCCGAUCCUCAAGACGUAGUGAGCUCAGGUGGUUGCCAGGUCUUCCAUUCGGAAUCUCUGGGAGUUGGGGCUCAGGGGACCUCAGCCCGCUCCUGGGCUGGAGACGGAGCCCGGGCCAGCUUCGCAAGGUCAGUUACUCCUGCUGGCCUGAAGGGAAACUUCGAACCCAAAGUGAUUAAACACCGGGAAGCCUUCAGCUGUCCCACUGAUGCGCUGUGACAGAAGAACACCAGUCGGGCAGCACCUGAAGAGUUCAUGCUCUGUGCUUUUAAUUUGAAUCUGACUGCAAAGCAAUUGGUUUAGAAAGACCAUGUGGGAAAUAGAAAUGGUGACGUGGACUCCCAGUCCGGACAUUCAGAUUGGCAAUAAAUGCGGUUACAUUUCA